GCGAUCCGGAGUACUGUGGAGCCUGCUCUUAUAACUCCUUCAGGUCUAAAGAAUAACGGGUGCGUAACGCGAGGGAAUCUGCCCUUAGGUUCGGAAUAACUCAGAGAAAUUUGAGCUAAUACCGGAUGAUGACGUAAGUCCAAAGAUUUAUCGCCUAGGGAUGAGCCCGCGUAAGAUUAGGUAGUUGGUGGGGUAAAAGCCUACCAAGCCGACGAUCUUUAGCUGGUCUGAGAGGAUGAUCAGCCACACUGGGACUGAGACACGGCCCAGACUCCUACGGGAGGCAGCAGUGGGGAAUAUUGGACAAUGGGCGAAAGCCUGAUCCAGCAAUGCCGCGUGAGUGAUGAAGGCCCUAGGGUUGUAAAGCUCUUUUACCCGGGAUGAUAAUGACAGUACCGGGAGAAUAAGCCCCGGCUAACUCCGUGCCAGCAGCCGCGGUAAUACGGAGGGGGCUAGCGUUGUUCGGAAUUACUGGGCGUAAAGCGCACGUAGGCGGCUGUUCAAGUCAGAGGUGAAAGCCUGGAGCUCAACUCCAGAACUGCCUUUGAAACUAGACAGCUAGAAUCAUGGAGAGGCGGGUGGAAUUCCGAGUGUAGAGGUGAAAUUCGUAGAUAUUCGGAAGAACACCAGUGGCGAAGGCGGCCCGCUGG
rnacentral:rRNA from 1 species